GGAGUCGACAAAAAGUCAAUGGAA
rnacentral:siRNA from 1 species